AGAGCGAACGCUGGCGGCAUGCUUAACACAUGCAAGUCGCACGGUCAGUAAUGGCAGUGGCGGACGGGUGAGUAACACGUAGGAAUCUAUCUAUAGGUGGGGGACAACCGUGGGAAACUACGGCUAAUACCGCAUGAUGCCUGAGGGCCAAAGCAGCAAUGCGCCUACUGAGGAGCCUGCGUCUGAUUAGCUUGUUGGUGGGGUAAAGCCUACCAAGGCUACGAUCAGUAGCUGGUCUGAGAGGAUGAUCAGCCACAUUGGGACUGAGACACGGCCCAAACUCCUACGGGAGGCAGCAGUGGGGAAUAUUGGACAAUGGGCGCAAGCCUGAUCCAGCAAUGCCGCGUGGUGAAGAAGGUCUUCGGAUUGUAAAGCCCUUUUGGCAGGGACGAUGAUGACGGUACCUGCAGAAUAAGCCCGGCUAACUUCGCGCCAGCAGCCGCGGUAA
rnacentral:rRNA from 1 species